AGAUUGUCACACUUUCAGCAGCAGCAACAACCCUUUCUCAAUAGCUUCACAGCUUUGGGUUUUGGUUAUGAAGGAAGCACGAAUGCUACUUUUCUACAUGAGAGGCGCUUUUGCACCAGCCCAGGGUCUGAUUUGCUUGAAGAUCAUGGGCUUCUUCAAGACAUUGUCCCUUCCCAUAUGCUAAAGGAGUAGACGAGAACACGUUAUUACUUUGAAGUUCCAUUAACUGACUUUAAAGGAGGUGUAGAUGAAGGGGAGGUGAACAUGAAGGGGCCUCUACUGAUAUAUAUAAAAAUAUAAAAAAA
rnacentral:misc_RNA from 1 species